GUUACCAGCACGUUAUGGUGGGCACUCUAAGGAGACUGCCGGUGACAAACCGGAGGAAGGGUGGGGAUGACGUCAAGUCAUCAUGGCCCUUACGGCCUGGGCUACACACGUGCUACAAUGGUCGGUACAAAGGGUUGCCAAGCCGCGAGGUGGAGCUAAUCCCAUAAAACCGAUCGUAGUCCGGAUCGCAGUCUGCAACUCGACUGCGUGAAGUCGGAAUCGCUAGUAAUCGUGAAUCAGAAUGUCACGGUGAAUACGUUCCCGGGCCUU
rnacentral:rRNA from 1 species